AAUUAUAAAUUUAUUAUAAAAUAUUUAUUUAUUUAUUUUUAAUAAAAAUAAUUUUAUUUAUUUUAAUUUUUAGUAUAUUUUAUAGAAAAAAUUUUAUUAAUUAUAGUUUAAUUGUAUAGUAAUAGAUAAUUGAAAUAAUUAGUUAAUUAUUUAAAAGUAAAAUUUAAUUUUUGUACCUUGUGUAUCAGGGUUUAUUAAAUAAAAAUUAAUUAUUUUAAUUUUCUCGAUUUUAAGAGAGUUAAUAAGUUAUGUUUUUUAUUGUAAAAAAAAUAUUUAUAAUAACUUAUUAGUAAUGAAAUGUUAUUCGUUCUUAAAUAUAUCUAGUUUAUUUAGAAAUGAAUUUAAUUCAGAUAUUAUAAUUUUAAUAAUUUAAUUUUUUAAUUUAUUAAAUUUUAAUAUUAAUAAUUAAAGGGAUUAGCUUUUAAUUAAAUUUUUAUAAAUUAGAUAAAGUAUAUUAAAAAAUGUAAGUUUAGAAAUAUCUAUCAAUAGUAAUUUGUUAUAAUUAAUUUAAUUUUUGAUUAUUAUUUUAUAUAAUUUUAAUUUUUUUAUAAAUAAAUAAUUUUUAAUUCUUUAAAGUUAGAUAUAAUGAUAGAAUUAGUAUAUAUUUUUAUUUAUUUAAAUAAUAUUAUAUAAUAGAUUAUUUAAAGGAAUUCGGCAAAAAUUUUACUCGCCUGUUUAACAAAAACAUGUCUUUUUGAUUUAUAUAUAAAGUCUAGCCUGCCCACUGAAUUUUUAAAUGGCCGCAGUAUUUUGACUGUGCAAAGGUAGCAUAAUCAUUAGUUUUUUAAUUAAAAGCUUGUAUGAAAGGUUGGACGAAGUAAAUUCUGUCUCUAUUUAAUUUAAAUUAGAAUUUAAUUUUUAAGUUAAAAAGCUUAAAUUUUUAUAAAAGACGAGAAGACCCUAUAGAACUUUAUAAUUUAUUAAAUAUAAUUAAUUAAGAUUUAUUUAAGUUUUAUUUAUAUAAUUAUUUUAUUGGGGUAAUAGAAAGAUUAAAUUAAUUCUUUUUUAAUAUUAACAUUAAUUUAUGAUAUAAUUGAUCCAUUUUUAGUGAUUAUAAGAUUAAGUUACCUUAGGGAUAACAGCGUAAUUUUUUUAGAGAGUUCAUAUCGAUAAAAAAGUUUGCGACCUCGAUGUUGGAUUAAAAAUUAUUUUAGGUGUAGAAGCUUAAAUUUUUGGUCUGUUCGACCAUUAAAUUUUUACAUGAUCUGAGUUCAGACCGGUGUAAGCCAGGUCGGUUUCUAUCUUUAUUUAAUUAAAAUAUUUUAGUACGAAAGGACCAAAUAUUUAAUAUAUUUAUAUUUUAGUAUUUGAAUAUUAUUAUUAUUUUGGCAGAUUAGUGCAAUGAAUUUAGAAUUCAUUUAU
rnacentral:rRNA from 1 species